CUCUUCUUCUUCUUCUUCUUCUUCUGUGUAUUCUCUCAUUUUCUCACCCGCCGCUAUCUCUUCUCCAGAGAGCUCCACAGCCGCUGGCCCGCUUGGUCUCCAGACAGCUCCACCGCCGCUUCUUCUUUUUCUUCUUUCAUCUCCGCCCUAUUCUCUCUGGACUCUCGUCAUUUCUCCGUUUCCCUCUCUGCAAGUCCUGCACUUUCUGCCUCUUCGUACUGUUGGCGUUUGCUUGAAGUUUUUGUUUCAAUCAUGUACGGAGGGGAUGAAGUUUCAGCUAUAGUAAUUGAUUUGGGCUCUCACACUUGCAAAGCUGGUUAUGCCGGUGAAGAUGCUCCCAAGGCCGUCUUUCCAUCCGUUGUUGGAUCUAUUGAUCAAAUGGAAGUUGAUGACUCUGCAAAUGCUGAAAAGAACUCUGGAUCUGCCGUAGAAUCUAAAAACAAUGCGAAGGCUGGUGAUUCUGAGAAACCCAAGGGAAGUCGGAAGCUUUAUGUAGGAUCUCAAGCUUUAGGAUUUCGCCGGGAUUAUAUGGAGGUGCUGUCACCUAUGAAGGAUGGAAUAGUUGCUGACUGGGAUCUUGUUGACAGCAUAUGGGACCAUGCUUUCAGGGAGUGUCUACUGAUUGAUCCCAAAGAACAUCCAAUGCUACUUGCAGAACCAUCUUCCAACACUCAACAACAAAGAGAGAGGGCAGCAGAGCUAAUGUUUGAAAAGUACAUGGUUCCUGCCUUGUUUCUGGCGAAGAAUGCUGUUUUGACAUCUUUUGCAUCAGGACGUGCCACUUCGUUAGUUGUUGAUAGUGGUGGAGGAUCCACGACAGUUGCUCCAGUUCAUGACGGUUAUGUUCUUCAAAAGGCUGUGUUAUCGUCUCCUAUUGGAGGAGAUUUUCUUGCCGAUUGCUUGACGAAAAGUUUGGAGAGCAAAGGUAUUACGAUUAAACCUAGAUACGCUUUCAAGAGAAAGGAAAUACGAGCCGGAGAGUUUCAGACAGUUGACGUCGAUUUUCCAAAUACAACAGAAAGCUACAAACUUUACUCCCAGAGGGUUAUUGCUAGUGAUAUCAAGGAAUGCGUGUGUCGAGCCCCGGAUACUCCAUAUGAUGAAAGCGCAUAUUCAAAUAUUCCAAUGACCCCUUAUGAACUUCCUGAUGGCCAGACAAUUGAAAUUGGAGCUGAUAGAUUCAAGACACCCGACGUGCUGUUUAACCCAUCCCUGGUUCAGACAAUUCCUGGUAUGGAGUGUUUUGCAGAAACUGCUGCUUCUGUUCGUGGGUUGCCACAAAUGGUUAUAGAGAGCAUCAAUAAGUGUGAUGUGGAUAUUCGUAGAGAGCUAUUCAGUAGCAUAUUGCUUGCCGGUGGUACAGCCUCAAUGCAACAGUUGAAAGAACGCCUGGAGAAAGAUUUGCUUGAGGAAUCUCCGCAAGCUGCUAGAGUUAAAGUCUUGGCAAGUGGAAACGCAACGGAAAGGCGAUUUAGUGUUUGGAUAGGUGGGAGUAUAUUGGCUUCUCUUGGUUCGUUCCAGCAAAUGUGGUUCUCGAAGUCUGAGUAUGAAGAGCAUGGGGCUUCUUACAUUCAAAGAAAGUGCCCUUAGAAUGGAUGGCAUACAAGGUUUUUUCUCUUAUCUCGGACGACAAGAUGUUGCUCGUGUCCUUCCGCAAUUUCUUGAAUGUCUUCCGUGUGUUCCACACUAACCUUUGCUAGAGUUGCUGAGGCUGUUUAAAGCUUGUGUAGUAUUAGACAGAUAAAGAUUGUUCUAAUUUGAAAAUAUACAGCUUCAUUGUCUGAUGUUGUAGCAAACUUUUUGAACUUGUAGGCUUGUAGUACAGUUUAUUAUUCCCUAGUUUUAGAUUUAUUUUGUUACUUGCAGCUCAAGUUCUUCGAAGGAUACACAAAACCACAUGGUUUCACUUCUGACGCUACUGGAGAAAUACACCAAAACAAAAAUACAAGUUUAUUAAAACUCCUGUUCGAAUGUGACAAAUUGCGAGUCCUUGUUUGAGUCAUCAGCAUCCAACUUCAGACAAAAACCUCUU